rnacentral:SRP_RNA from 1 species
GCCAGGCGUGGUGGCGCACGCCUGUAAUCCCAGCUACUCAGGAGGCUGAGGCAGGAGAAUCGCUUGAACCCAGGAGGCAGAGGUUGCAGUGAGCCAAGAUCGCGCCACUGCACUCCAGCCUGGGCGACAGGGCGAGACUCUGUCACAA